GAUCGUGUUUUUGAGUUUCGCUUAAUUCGCUGACAUAAGGGCCACUCGGGGUGAGGGCGGGCAUCAAAGCAAUAAGGUUCGAAGAAUUAUUUCUCAAUACACCGCUAUUUAAAUAUUAUUUAAUAGUUGGGCACAGUGGGCUGCUUUAAAGCGCAACAUUGCAUUACUAAUAUGCUUACCGAAUGAGUAUAUUAGGAGAGGAAUUGGAACCAGUCUUUUUUUAUUUUUUAUUUAUUUAUUUUUUUUAUAUAUCCAUCGUAUUGCACUCUAUUUAGACGAAAAUGCAAUGUACGAUUAAAGAAACUAUGACAAAGUUGCGAAAGCACAUGCUACAAAUCUGCCUGGAACCAGCCAUAACCGGGAGCAGAUGCAAUGAACGACGCGCAACGCCAUUCGCGUGAGCAUGCAAUUGUAGAGACGGCGAGGCCAAUACCUAGGCUAUGUGGAGCAUGUCCGUAGCAGGAGGUAUAAUUUUUUCCUCAACAUAAGCGCCGAUUUACGAAGCAACGUGCAGCGCUUGCAUGCAGGAGGAGCAGCCGAAUGAGUUGAGGGAGGCUGUUUAAGUCGACCGCCCUGUUAGUGAAUGUACUGUGAUAGGCGAACAUCACUCAGCUGAGCCAUCAGCUGAUUCAGCCGGAGCGCUUGACUCUCGUGGCCUGCCAGAACUACGCCAUGCUCCAUUUGUGGCAGCAGUAAUAGUAAAACAAACAAAGGGAUGGUCGGUAGAAAAUAAAGCAAAAAAGUGGAGUGGAUAAAUGAGUAAAUAAGUAAAUAAAUAGAGGCAAUGUUGUGUGUUUAUGUGAGUGUACUUGUAUGUCUGCCUCUAAAGAGUGUAUAUGUGUUUGCAAGUGUGUGUGUGUAUGUGAAUGUACAUGAAUGUUAUUUGUUUGUGUUUGUUGUGGCACUAGCUCACCAGCAACUUAAGAGAUUUGAGAAGUUUUUAAUACUUUUCAUUGAAUUGUUCAGACUGUUUUUUCUUUGUAGGGCUGAGUUUUGUUCCAGUGUUACCUGUUCUGUUAAAAUAUUUAAACACUGUGAGAUGGUGAGUUGUUUUCUGUUUUUCCAAUUUAGUAAAAUAGUUUUCUUGGCGAUAGUUAGGGCUACCAGUAGAGGUGUUGUGAUUUAUUUUUGUGAUGUGUCAAGUAUACCCAAGUCUCCUGACGGGGAUAGGGGGUUGCUGCACCCAAAGAACAGCGAUAGUUUAGUAGUUAUUUCUUUCCAGAAUUGUUGUACUGGUGGGCAGAGCCAGAGUGCAUGGAAGUAGUGGUCAGUCGUGUUAAGGGUACAGUGAGUGCAUAUGUCUGAUCCGGUAAGUCCCAUUAUGUGCAUCUUGUGUUGUGUAAUAUGUAUUCUGUGAAUGACUUCGUAUUGAAUUAGUCUUGUUUUAGUGUUCAUGGACAUGAUGAAGGUGUUUUUGCAUAUUUUCAAUUCAAUUCAAUUCAAUUUUAUUUGUAUAGCGCUUUUAAAAAGGAGCUUUGUCACAAAGCAGCUUUACAGAGAACCGGCCCCCAAAGAGUAAGCCCAGGGCAACAGUGACAAGGAAAAACUCCCUGACUGUUAGCAGGAAGAAACCUUGAGCAGAACCGGACUCAGAGGGGGAACUCAUCUGCCGAGGGCAGGCACCAGUUUGUUAUGGAAAGUCAAUAGUGGCAGGAGGCGGGGGUGCCCAGCUGGUCUAGCUGGUCUAGGGCUGGAGCUCCGGGCCGGGGGGGGUGCUCAGCAAACUUGGGCUACAGCUCCGGACAGGUGCCCAGAGCCGAGGAAAAGGAGAAAAAAAAAUUGUUAGGGGGUUCAAAAGGUAGAUUAGCAAGCAGUUCCACAGGAGGGGAGCACGAUAGGGGAGGCCUGCACCCUGCGAACGGUGCGUUCGUAAGGGAAUAUAAGGAAGAAAUCAUUUAAGUACAAAGGGGUAAGCCCAUGUAAGGAUUUAAAGGUAAGAAGUGGUAUCUUAUAGUCUUCGCUGGAGCACUUUCAGAGAUGAAUUUGCGCAUCCAGACAAAAGAGCAUUGCAGUAAUCUAAUCCUGAAGUAUCAAAAGCAUGAACUAGCUUUUCUGCAUCAUGUAAGGGCAGUAUUUUCUGACUUUUUCUCAAGUGAUAAAAAGCAUAGAGAUGUUUUUAACAUCUCUAUGGAUCAAAGGUAAUACCAAGAUCUUUGAUUACAGCACUUGAAGUAAUGGAGAUUCCAUCAAUGUUAAGCAUAUAGUCAGAUAUUUUGCAUCUCAGGGACUUGGGCCCCACUACCAUUAUUUUGGUCUUAUCGGAGUGUAGCAAGAGAAAAUUUUGGGUCAUCCAUUCCUUUAUGUCUAUAAAACAGGCUUUGAUCUUUGACAGCUGGACAACUUCGUCAGGUUUAACUGAUAGAUACAACUGGGUGUCAUAUUUACAUAGCAGUCGAAAUUAAUGCCAUGUUUGCGAAUAACUUGUCCCAGGGUCCCACAGGUCAUUCACAUCCAAGUUUGGCUUCUUGAGAAAGGGUUUGAGGACUGCAAGUUUAAGAGUCUGUGGUAUGUGUCCAGAUGCUAAAGACACAUUGACAAUAUGUAACAUUGGUGUUCCAAUCAUUGGUAGUAGCUCCUUGAAAAGAUUUGUAGGGAUAGGGUCUAGAAGAUAAGCAGAAGAUUUUGAGGAAUUAACUAUGGCAUUAAACUCCAUGAGAUCUAUUGGAGCAAAAGAGUUCAGAUAGGCUGCUCGUCUUUCUGAAGAUUCUUGUGAAGAUUCUGCAUCCAUGCGUUGAGCGGAUGGAAGGGCAGACCCUAUAUGAGGGGUGGUAGGAGAACUUUGAAUCUUGUCUCUGAUUUUUAUUAUUUUGUCACCAAAGAAAUUCAUAAAGUCAUUGCUACUAAAUGAUAUUGAGACACAUGGAUCAACUUGAUUCUUGGUCAGUCUGGCAACAGUGUUAUACAGGUGCCUAGGAUUGUUUCUAUGUUCAUCUAUUAAAGUAGAGAAGUAUGAGGAACGUGCUGUGGAGAGGGCAUGUUUGUAAGUUAGUAGACUCUCUUUCCAGUCCUGGAGGAAUACUUGCAAUUUAGUAGAACACCAUUUGCGCUCAAGUUGGCGUGAAGCUUGUUUGAGAGCACGAAUAUGGUCAUUGUACCAGGGUGCUAAUUUCUUAUAGCGGACUUUCCUCUUCUUAAGAGGUGCGAUAGUAUCCAGAGUUCUGGAAAAUACAUAGUUUAUGUUGUCUGUCAGCUGAUCAAUUGAGCUAAUGCUUGCAUUUUUGUAUGCGCAUGGGCAGGAGCCAAGAAAAUCCCCACAGUGCACAAAUGAGCCUGGGAGCUCAUUAAUAAAAGCAUUUGCAGUCCUGGAGGAAAGCUUACGGCUAAGGUAGAAUGAAGGAUCUGGUGAAAGACUUGUGAAGGUUGGAAAGUAAUUAAAUAAUGGUCGACAGCACAGGGUUAUUAGGCAUAACUGCUAUAUUUGCUAUUUCUGUAUCAUAAGUUAAGACCAGAUAAAGAGUAUGGUUAUGAGAAUGUGUGGCCUGAUUUAUAUGUUGAUCGAAGCCAAUAGAUUCAAUGA